rnacentral:rRNA from 1 species
CCUACGGGAGGCAGCAGUAGGGAAUCUUCGGCAAUGGACGAAAGUCUGACCGAGCAACGCCGCGUGAGCGAAGAAGGCCUUCGGGUCGUAAAGCUCUGUUGUUAGAGAAGCGGUAUCUAACCAGAAAGCCACGGCUAACUACGUGCCAGCAGCCGCGGUAAUACGUAGGUGGCAAGCGUUGUCCGGAAUUAUUGGGCGUAAAGCGCGCGCAGGCGGUCUCUUAAGUCUGAUGUGAAAGCCCCCGGCUCAACCGGGGAGGGUCAUUGGAAACUGGGAGACUUGAGGACAGAAGAGGAGAGUGGAAUUCCAAGUGUAGCGGUGAAAUGCGUAGAUAUUUGGAGGAACACCAGUGGCGAAGGCGGCUCUCUGGUCUGUACUGACGCUGAGGCGCGAAAGCGUGGGGAGCAAACAGGAUUAGAUACCCUUGUAGUC